UCUGUGCCCUGUGGCUUUGAGGUGCUGCCCUCAGCUGGAAGCCUCGCUUCAGGACAGCAGUGCCACGUCCAAGUCCGUUUUUCACCCACGGAAGAGAAGUGCUACCGGGGCGAGCUGCAGAUCCAGAUUUGCCAGAGCAGCCAACGCCUGCAGGUGCCGGUCUUGGGACGUGGUCUGGAGCCACGGCUGGAGUCCAUCCCUGCAGAGCUGGAGCUGGGACCGCUGCUGCCCCAGAGCCAUGGGGAAGAGGGGACAGUGGUGGUGAAGAAGCCCUAUGAGGUUUACUCAGUGCAGUUUGAGCAGCAGCACCUUGCUGAGGAGCAGCCCCUACAGACACCGAAAAAUGACAACAGCCCCAACAGCUUGUUGCUGCCUCCGUGUGCCCCG